CUGGAGUGUAAUAGGCUGAAGAUGCUGCCGAGCUCGCUCCGCGGCCACUUGUGAAUGGGACUUGCCCGGUGUCCCCGCUCCGCAGGCGGCCGAGGGACGCGGCCAGCCCCGCAGCCAGAGCUGAAGUAGUGGCUGAGUGGCAGCAGAGGGCUGACAGGUGUCACAGCUCCUGAGGUGGCAUUUCAGAUGUGUGGAAUAUGCUACAUCAACUGGCAGCAGGUUUCCAGUGGGUGAAGGAACUGAGCUGGGAAGCUGCAGAGCAUUAAGGUGAUGUGUUUAAUGCGUGGCGGCGUCCUAUGUGCACAAGGGUUGGUCUGAAACUCCUCAG